UUGCACGCGGCCUAUCAGCUUGUUGGUGAGGUAACGGCUCACCAAGGCGUCGACGGGUAGCCGGCCUGAGAGGGUGACCGGCCACACUGGGACUGAGACACGGCCCAGACUCCUACGGGAGGCAGCAGUGGGGAAUAUUGCACAAUGGGCGAAAGCCUGAUGCAGCAACGCCGCGUGAGGGACGACGGCCUUCGGGUUGUAAACCUCUUUUAGCAGGAAAGAAGCGAAAGUGACGGUACCUGCAGAAAAAGCGCCGGCUAACUACGUGCCAGCAGCCGCGGUAAUACGUAGGGCGCAAGCGUUAUCCGGAAUUAUUGGGCGUAAAGAGCUCGUAGGCGGUCUGUCGCGUCUGCUGUGAAAACCCGAGGCUCAACCUCGGGCCUGCAGUGGGUACGGGCAGACUAGAGUGCGGUAGGGGAGAUUGGAAUUCCUGGUGUAGCGGUGGAAUGCGCAGAUAUCAGGAGGAACACCGAUGGCGAAGGCAGAUCUCUGGGCCGUAACUGACGCUGAGGAGCGAAAGGGUGGGGAGCAAACAGGCUUAGAUACCCUGGUAGUCCACCCCGUAAACGUUGGGAACUAGUUGUGGGGUCCAUUCCACGGAUUCCGUGACGCAGCUAACGCAUUAGGUUCCCCGCCUGGGGAGUACGGGC
rnacentral:rRNA from 1 species